rnacentral:rRNA from 1 species
AAAUUGAAGAGUUUGAUCAUGGCUCAGAUUGAACGCUGGCGGCAGGCCUAACACAUGCAAGUCGAGCGGAAACGAGUUGUCUGAACCUUCGGGGAACGAUAACGGCGUCGAGCGGCGGACGGGUGAGUAAUGCCUAGGAAAUUGCCCUGAUGUGGGGGAUAACCAUUGGAAACGAUGGCUAAUACCGCAUGAUGCCUACGGGCCAAAGAGGGGGACCUUCGGGCCUCUCGCGUCAGGAUAUGCCUAGGUGGGAUUAGCUAGUUGGUGAGGUAAGGGCUCACCAAGGCGACGAUCCCUAGCUGGUCUGAGAGGAUGAUCAGCCACACUGGAACUGAGACACGGUCCAGACUCCUACGGGAGGCAGCAGUGGGGAAUAUUGCACAAUGGGCGCAAGCCUGAUGCAGCCAUGCCGCGUGUGUGAAGAAGGCCUUCGGGUUGUAAAGCACUUUCAGUCGUGAGGAAGG